GACGAACGCUGGCGGCGUGCCUAAUACAUGCAAGUCGAGCGGAUUCAUCCCUUCGGGGAUGGGUUAGCGGCGGACGGGUGAGUAACACGUAGGCAACCUGCCUUCAAGACCGGGAUAACAUGCGGAAACGGAUGCUAAGACCGGAUACACAGUUUGAUCGCAUGAUCGGGCUGGGAAACACGGUGCAAGCUGUGGCUUGG
rnacentral:rRNA from 1 species